rnacentral:rRNA from 1 species
CGCCAGACUCCUACGGGAGGCAGCAGUGAGGAAUAUUGGUCAAUGGGCGGGAGCCUGAACCAGCCAAGCCGCGUGAGGGAAGAAGGUACAGCGUAUCGUAAACCUCUUUUGUCAGGGAACAAAGGCGGGGACUAGUCCCCGGAUGAGGGUACCUGAAGAAAAAGCAUCGGCUAACUCCGUGCCAGCAGCCGCGGUAAUACGGAGGAUGCGAGCGUUAUCCGGAUUUAUUGGGUUUAAAGGGUGCGUAGGCGGGCUUUUAAGUCAGCGGUAAAAAUUCGGGGCUCAACCCCGUCCGGCCGUUGAAACUGGCGUUCUUGAGUGGGCGAGAAGUAUGCGGAAUGCGUGGUGUAGCGGUGAAAUGCAUAGAUAUCACGCAGAACUCCGAUUGCGAAGGCAGCAUACCGGCGCCCAACUGACGCUGAAGCACGAAAGCGUGGGUAUCGAACAGGAUUAGAUACCCUUGUA